AUUAUCUUUUAUAUUCUAUAAUUAUGUUAACAAUAGUUGGUUAAAGAAAUACUCUUGUACUUUAGAGUUGGGUAUUAGGGCUCAAAUGUAAAGUGCAGACCUCUUUUUAGGAAAAUUUGUGCUAUUCUGGGUAUUUCCUCUUGGUAUUUAAUUAAGCCAUAUUCUUGGCCCUUAGAGCUGGACAUGGGUUACAGAUGUUUGCCAAUUUCAUUUUAUAAAAAGCCAGCAGAAGCAUCUUUCCAAAUAAAAAGUUUCAGGAGACAAAACUCUCAUGGUGAAUAAUCAAAUCUUUUUUUAAGGUUUUAUUUAUUUAUUCAUGAGAGACACAGAGAGAGGCAGAGACACAGGCAGAGGGAGAAGCAGGCUCCGUGAGGGGAGCCCAAUUCAGGACUCGAUCCCAGGACCUGGGAUCACAACCUGAGCCCAAAGCAGAUGCUCAACCACUGAGCCUCAGGUAUCAUGAAUAAUCAAAUCUUAUCAGAAUUCUCACCUACAUCAGUGCCUCCUCUACUUCACAGGAUGCCACAGUUUAACUGUAUGAACAGCUGCCCAUAAAGUUUAGAGAUUUGUUUGCUGGCUGCACAGGGGAUUUUCUUCUAUUAGACUCUCUGUGUGUACACAGGAGACCAACUGCCUGGGCAUCUGCCGAUCUUAACCACUCCAGAGAUCUUUCUCUUGCUCACUUCAAAAAAAAAAAAGAAGUAAUAAUUCAACCAAUAGCAGACAUAAAGUCUAAUGAAGAGUCUGAGCUGCCAGGAUGAUGCAGGGUGCAUAUUAGUACAACGUGACAGUGGGUGUUUUUCUCAGCUUCAUGCUUGCAGGAAGGAAACCCAUUUCCCCCCCUCCAUUGGAGUAGUGGACGGCACUCCAGCUGGAUUGGAGCCAGGCAUCCUGAAUUCAAAUGCCCCUGGUGCCAGGUGGGCAGCACAGGUGAUGCCAGGUGAUGCCAGAUCCAGACCUGUGGGAACUGGAGGACGUGGCCUCUUGGUAAGGACACUGCAUAGGGAUAAAUAUUGA
rnacentral:lncRNA from 12 species